AACGAACGCUGGCGGCAUGCCUAACACAUGCAAGUCGAACGAGACCUUCGGGUCUAGUGGCGCACGGGUGCGUAACGCGUGGGAACCUGCCCUUAGGCUCGGAAUAACUCCCCGAAAGGGGUGCUAAUACCGGAUAAUGUCUUCGGACCAAAGAUUUAUCGCCUUUGGAUGGGCCCGCGUUGGAUUAGCUAGUUGGUAGGGUAAAAGCCUACCAAGGCGACGAUCCAUAGCUGGUCUGAGAGGAUGAUCAGCCACACUGGGACUGAGACACAGCCCAGACUCCUACGGGAGGCAGCAGUGGGGAAUAUUGGACAAUGGGCGAAAGCCUGAUCCAGCAAUGCCGCGUGAGUGAUGAAGGCCUUAGGGUUGUAAAGCUCUUUUACCCGGGAUGAUAAUGACAGUACCGGGAGAAUAAGCUCCGGCUAACUCCGUG
rnacentral:rRNA from 1 species